CACCAACAGUGAAAAUAAACUCAAGAACUCAUUCAUCUUUCACUUACAAGUGUCUACCCUUUAAUAACAUCUCCUCAGUACCUCCUCCCUCAUCCCAGCCUCUGGAAAAUGCAAAUCAAAACCAGGACGCAUCACCUUAUACCUGUCAGAAUGGCUGUUACAAAAAAGAAAUAACAAGUGUUGGCAAGGUUGUGGAGAAAAAGGAAGCCUUGGGGAACCUGCGUGGCUCAGUAAGUAAAGCAUCUGCCUUUGGCUCAGGUCAUGAUCUCAGGGUCCUAGGAUCAAGUCCCACAUUGGGCUCUCUGCUCAGCAGAGAAUCUGCUUCUCCCUCCUCCUGCUCCUAUGCUCCCACUCACUCCUG
rnacentral:lncRNA from 1 species